UAGAUCGUCUAUGAAUACUUUUUUGUUAUAGAUCAACAUGUAAAAUAGAUGGAAAUGUUGACUCUACUAGUCUAGAUACAUUCUAGACUAGAUCUAGUCUAUAUAAUCUAGAUCUAUUAUUAUCUAUAGACUAGAUCUCUAGCUUUAGACCUAGCGAUGACGUUUUUUUUAAAUCUCUUGUAAAAUUGGUUAUACUUUUUAAUUAUUCCCCCACCCUGAAAUGCCA